CUGCAUCUUGUGGGUUCCUCUCCUAGUCAGCUUCCUAAGGGGCAGCGCUGUAGGACCAAGGACAGAAAUCGUCAAGUGAAGAGCAGAUUGGACGUGAAAACAGAUGCUACCGUGGCCUCUAAGAGAAAAGAAGGAAUCUCUGGGCACAUAUACAGAUAAAAUCACGAGCGAAAGUGGUGAAGCAAGGAGUAGCUGCAAUCCAAGUAUAUACAUGGUGUGAAGAAUCUAAGCACCAUGGGAGGGGCUGCUAUUGCAGCAGCUGUGGUGGCACCUCUGAUCUGCCACUAGGUGGCAAGAGAAUUCCACCAUGGCCACUAACCUCAUCUGGGACUUCGGCUUCACCCUAGAAGCGGGAUAUGGGAUUGGAUUUCUUCCUUCUGAUAAGACAGUGGCAAGCAGGGUUGAUAGUCCCCCGUCCACAGGAAGAGACUAUGACCACAGGAACGUCCUUUUGGGUCCGCCAACCUGGAUCACAGGCUGAGCCUGCGGGGCCCAAGAAGCCAUCGGCUGUGCAGGUGGGGCCAUCGGCUGUGCAGGUGGGGCCGCUGGCUGUGCCAUCGGUGCUCCUGAAGCUGGAGGCUGGGUCAUUGGAGCUCUCGCACCUGGAGGAUGAAUCAUCAGGACUCCUGGACCUGGAGGCUUGGCCAUCGGUGCUCCUGAAGGCGGAGGCUGGGUCAUCACGGCUGCAGGAGGCGGCUGGACCAUCGGGGCUCCCGGAGCAGCAGGCUGGACCAUCAGGACUCCCGGAGUCAGAGGCUGGGCCAUCAGGACUCCCGGAGCUGGAGGCUGGGCCAUCGGUGUCCCCGGAGGGGGAGGCUGGGCCAUCGGUGUCCCCGGAGGGGGAGGAUGAGCCAUCGGUGUCCCCGGAGGGGGAGGAUGAACCAUCGGGGUCCCAGGAGGAGGAGGAUGAACCAUCGGGGUCCCAGGAGGAGGAGGAUGGGCCAUCGGGGUCCCAGGAGGAGCAGGAUGGGCCAUCGGGGUCCCCGGAGGGGGAGGAUGGGCCAUCGGGGUCCCCGGAGGGGGAGGGUGGGACAUUGGGGUCCCCGGAGGAGGAGGAUGGGCCAUGGGAGCUCCGGGAGCUGAAGGAUGCGCCAUCAGGACUCCCGGGGUCGGAGGCUGGGCCAUCGGGGCUCCCGGAGGCGGAGGAUGCACCAUCAGGACCCCGGGAGUUGGAGGCUUACCCAUCGGUCCCCCCAGCGGGGGAGCCGGGACUAUCGGGCCCCCCAGGGCAGGAGGCUGGGUCAUCGGAACCACCGGGGCGGGCAGCUGGCCCUGUGGGGCCUCCCAGGCAGGCUGAGGUGCCUGCCAAGCGGCCAAUGAAGCCUGCAAGUCAAUUGGAGGUGGAUCCCAAGGGACUGGCGGAGCCCGGGAGGAAGCGGGCGGGGCCCGCAUCAGAACCGUAGGGCGGCUAUAGACAGGCGGCUUCGGGGCCUCCGCUGGAGGACUCGAGUCACCCAGAUUCUUACUUAGCUGCGACAUGUCCCUUUGCUGACAGCUGGUGGGUCUUUUCCUCGGACAGCUGCUGGGCCUUUUCCUCCAGAGAGAAGAGAAUGCCUACGUGGCUGUUCGGAGGCUCCCUCCCUGCUGAAUGCUGAAUAGGAAGUGAGUGCUGCUCGCUCCGCAGCUUUCCGCAGUAAGGAGGAGGGGGGAAGGGGGCUCAAGCCCGCCCCUUCCCCGCCCCCGACCACCACAAGUGGAUAUUGCAUAGGGGCGUCUACCGGAGUCCUGGCUGACACAAGAUCCCUUCUCACUCUGUCCAGUCCCCAAAUGCAGACCAGUCAGACUCCACAUGGAUGAGUUUUCACAGGGGAGUGACAGGAACCGAUCCAUGUUUUAGAAAAAUCACGGUACUGCAGUGUGGAGUGGGAGCAGACCACUGGAAACAUGGAAGGUAUCCAAGACCGGGGGGAGAUGGUGUGGUCUGGGCUAAGAUGUGAGGCGGAGAAUGAGAAAAGUGCAUUUACAUAAGAGAGUUUCAGGAGUUAUAGCAGACAGAUACCUGUAUUAUAACUGAAUAAAGGAGUCAGAGACAUGGAAAAGGCACACAAGUCCCUGUCUGGAGAAAGUGGAAAGUUGCAGGACUGUUCCUCUCUUAGGGUCCCAGGAGAGGCACACGGGAAGAGAGGCUGAUGAGUAUUGGCAGACACAGGGCAUUUGCGGUGCUGUGGGACUGCCAAGGAGAGAUGCCCUGUAGGCACUCCUGUAUAAUGUCUUGGGAGUCCUGCUUGGCUAUUCCUCGUAAAAAUAGAGUUGUGGGAGGGAAUGUGGUUGCACUAGAUCUUGAAGAACACAGGCAUGUUAGAGACACAUGGAGAAAAGGGAUAGCAGCAAGUAGGGAGAGAGAGGAAAAGAAGUCACGGAACUGAGACAUGCCACAAAUCAGCGGAAGACAGAGUUUUUCGUAUGGGGAAAACUGCCUGUGGAAUGGCUCGGAUGCAGGAACAGAGUAGGUUUCUCAGUGUUUUUCAGUUGCAGAACAGGAAAGAAAUUUUUAAAAUGAAAACCAAAUAAUGCACCUGAAGAUAACAAAAUGGGUAUAUAAACAGAUCAAAAAUUGAUACAUUUGGACAUAUAGGAAAAACAGGCAAACAAUAACAAAAUUUCUGGGGAAACUACUUGUGACAAAAAUCAGUUUAAGUAUGAGACAAAUCAAGUAUUAACAGAUAAAGCAGGCGACAAUAGUAUUAUUGGACAAUGCUAUACAACUUUAUGGUGAGAGGAAGUGAUAAUCUCAGUAGUUGAAAAGUUUUCUGGAAAUAUACAAACUACUAAAUAUCAGGGAUAUUUCGUUUAAAUAGGCUGUUGGCAGCCUAGGGCAGGAGUCCAGAGUGACAAAAUGUGCCACCAGGGGGC
ensembl:lncRNA